AUUGAACGCUGGCGGAAUGCUUUGCACAUGCAAGUCGAACGGCAGCACGGACUUCGGUCUGGUGGCGAGUGGCGAACGGGUGAGUAAUGUAUCGGAACGUACCCAAUAAUGGGGGAUAACGAGUCGAAAGAUUCGCUAAUACCGCAUACGCCCUACGGGGGAAAGCUGGGGACCUUCGGGCCUGGCGUUAAUGGAGCGGCCGAUAUCAGAUUAGGUAGUUGGUGGGGUAAAGGCCCACCAAGCCAACGAUCUGUAGCUGGUCUGAGAGGACGACCAGCCACACUGGAACUGAGACACGGUCCAGACUCCUACGGGAGGCAGCAGUGGGGAAUUUUGGACAAUGGGCGAAAGCCUGAUCCAGCCAUUCCGCGUGCAGGAUGAAGGCCCUCGGGUUGUAAACUGCUUUUGUACAGAACGAAAAGGUUUCUACUAAUACUAGGAGCUCAUGACGGUACUGUAAGAAUAAGCACCGGCUAACUACGUGCCAGCCGCCGCCGUAA
rnacentral:rRNA from 1 species